GGUAAAAACUGUGUUUCGAUGGUGAAAAUAGCUUUCAAGUCCAUGAAUGAGGACACAUGUGUACUUUUAUGUAUACCUUUCCAUUUAUCAGAAAUAUAAGAGGGACAGAGAACUUGAGAGAGAAAAUCUUCAGGUGAAGCAAGCAAGCUGAAACUGAGGAAAUUCUUCCUGAAAGAAUGAUUUAUUUCUUCCAAAGAAAUUUGGUUUAUCAAAAUCAAUCAACAAAUGAGUGAACCCAUGGUGUGGUUAUUUACAGCAAAAUUUAAAACCCAACAGAUUUCUCUUUCCCAUCUAGCAUGCUUCUGUCUAACCUCUCAGCAUUAGUUGGAAGGGAGACUUACCUAACGGGUGAAUUUGGGAGAAGGAGCUAAGCAGUGCUUAUGUGUUUCUGAGUCUCCUCUUUGAAAAGAUGUGCCUGCCCACAGUAACAUGAAUUUGGGUCUGCUCUCAGCUCUGUGAAAGAGAAGAGCAGUGUUACUUGUCGCCUACCCAGUGUCACCUGUCACAGCUCCACCAAGAAAAAUGACUAGACAACACUUACAGAAACAUUCUCUUCUUCCUUGACUUCAUAACUAAUGUACAUUGUUCAAAAGCAACGCCCACUCAAAAGAGAGAAAAAGUCGAAAGAAACCAUUUUAGAAACAAACAUAGGAAGUCAGACAAACUGAGGACACAGAGGAAUACCUUCCAAACGAAAGAACAUGACAAAACCUAAGGAAAGAAAAAACUAACAAAACUAAGAAAAAAAACUAAGAAAAAAAGAGAGAAGUGAUGAGUUCAAGGUAAAGGUCAUAAAGAUGCUCAGUGAACUUGGGAGGAGAAUGAAUGGAUCCAGUGAUAACAUCUACAAAGAGAUAGAAAAUAUAAAAAAGAACCAAUCAGAGCUGAAGGAUACAAUAACAGAAAUGACAAAUACACUAGGGGGCAUCAACAGCAGAUAAGAAGAUGCAGAAGAACAGAUCAACAAUUUGCAAGACAGGGUAGUAGAAAUCAUCCAAGCUGAAAAACAGAAAGAAAAAAGAACUUUAGAAAUGAGACUAGGUUAAGGGACCUGUGGGACAACAUCCAGUGUAAUAAUACUUGCAUUCAAGGGGUUCCAGAAAAAGAAAAGAGAAACGGGCAAAGAACUCAUUUGAAGAAAUAAAAGCUUCAUUUUAAAAAUUCAAAUAUUUGCUUGAUUUAGCUAUUUAUAAAAUGCUCUACAAUCGCUCAGCAAGAUAUUUUAUAAAAAUUGAAACAGAGGUGCUAUUAGUAAAAAAAAAAAAAGGAAAAAGAAAAAAGAGUGCCAUAAGUAAGAGAGCAAUUAAAGAUGUAUUCUCAUGUAAGAAAAUAGCAAAAAUUUAACUUAAAAGAGAAAUUAACCUUUUUAGUGUUACAAGUUGAUUUAAUUCAUAAAAAAGGACUUACCAUGGGUUCUUUUUUUUUGUUUAAAGUAGCCUCCAUGCUUAGUGUAGAGCCCAAUGCAGGACUUGAACUCAUGACCCCUAGAUCAAACCCUGAGCUGAGAUCAAGAGUCAGACGCUGAAAUGACUGAGCCACCCAGGCACCCCCUUGGAUUCUUUUAAAUAGUAAACAUUCAUACGUCGUUAAGUGUUUGGAGGACGAUCAUUCACUGACAUACAGUGGUGCAAAAACUGGAUGAUAGCAAAACCUUCAAAUGUUUAUGAACCACUGCCAACCGAAAAUAAGUCCAAGCAUCUAAGUGUACCUGUGGUCAACAGGCAAUAACAUUUACUUUCUAAAAUCAAAUUUAAAUGAAAGCUUUUCAAGAAAUUUAACAUGGGUCAGUUUAGUUAUAUUUAUUGAAUACAGUUAAUACUAGGUGUCUCUUGUGGCGCACCGGGGCGGCUCAGUUGUUUUCAGUGUCCAAAUCUUGAUUUUGAUUCAGGUCAUGAUCUCAUGGUUUUGAGACUGAGCCCCACAUUCGGCUCAGUGCUGAGCAUGAAACCUGCUUGGGAUUCUCUUUCUCCCUCUCCUUUUGCCCCUCCCCUGCAUGCACUCACUCAUUCUCUCGCUAAAAUAAAAUAAAAAUAAGUAUCUCUUGGAAAUGAGAGAUCAAGGGACUAAUAUAUAUAUAUAUAUAUAU